rnacentral:rRNA from 1 species
AUUGAACGCUGGCGGAAUGCUUUACACAUGCAAGUCGAACGGCAGCACGGACUUCGGUCUGGUGGCGAGUGGCGAACGGGUGAGUAAUGUAUCGGAACGUGCCCAGUCGUGGAGGAUAACGUAGUGAAAAUUACGCUAAUACCGCAUACGAUCUAUGGAUGAAAGCGGGGGAUCGCAAGACCUCGCGCGAUUGGAGCGGCCGAUAUCAGAUUAGGUAGUUGGUGGGGUAAAGGCCCACCAAGCCAACGAUCUGUAGCUGGUCUGAGAGGACGACCAGCCACACUGGAACGGAGACACGGUCCAGACUCCUACGGGGGGCAGCAGUGGGGAAUUUUGGACAAUGGGCGAAAGCCUGAUCCAGCCAUUCCGCGUGCAGGAUGAAGGCCCUCGGGUCGUAAACUGCUUUUGUACAGAACGAAAAGGUUUCUACUAAUACUAGGAGCUCAUGACGGUACUGUAAGAAUAAGCACCGGCUAACUACGUGCCAGCCGCCGCCGUAA